AGUCGAGAAUAAUUCACAAUGGGGGCAACCCUGAUGGUGCAACGCCGCGUGGAGGAUGAAGGUCUUCGGAUUGUAAACUCCUGUCAUCCGGGAGUAAGACCUGACGGUGAAUAGCCGGCAGGGUUGAUAGUACCGGAAGAGGAAGGGACGGCUAACUUCGUGCCAGCAGCCGCGGUAAUACGAAGGUCCCGAGCGUUGUUCGGAAUCACUGGGCGUAAAGGGAGCGUAGGCGGCGUGGCAAGUCAGACGUGAAAUCCCGGGGCUCAACCCCGGAACUGCGUCCGAUACUGCCAUGCUUUGAGGGUUGGAGAGGUAGCUGGAAUUCUUGGUGUAGCAGUGAAAUGCGUGGAUAUCAAGAGGAACACUCGUGGCGAAAGCGAGCUACUGGACAACACCUGACGCUGAGGCUCGAAGGCCAGGGGAGCGAA
rnacentral:rRNA from 1 species